rnacentral:rRNA from 1 species
AUGAACGCUGGCGGCGUGCCUAAUACAUGCAAGUCGAGCGAACAGACGAGGAGCUUGCUCCUCUGACGUUAGCGGCGGACGGGUGAGUAACACGUGGAUAACCUACCUAUAAGACUGGGAUAACUUCGGGAAACCGGAGCUAAUACCGGAUAAUAUAUUGAACCGCAUGGUUCAAUAGUGAAAGACGGUUUUGCUGUCACUUAUAGAUGGAUCCGCGCCGCAUUAGCUAGUUGGUAAGGUAACGGCUUACCAAGGCAACGAUGCGUAGCCGACCUGAGAGGGUGAUCGGCCACACUGGAACUGAGACACGGUCCAGACUCCUACGGGAGGCAGCAGUAGGGAAUCUUCCGCAAUGGGCGAAAGCCUGACGGAGCAACGCCGCGUGAGUGAUGAAGGUCUUCGGAUCGUAAAACUCUGUUAUUAGGGAAGAACAAAUGUGUAAGUAACUAUGCACGUCUAGACGGUACCUAAUCAGAAAGCCACGGCUAACUACGUG